AUAGGUUUGGUCCCAGCCUUCCUGUUAACUUUCAAUAGACUUAUACAUGCAAGCAUCCACGCCCCGGUGAGUAACGCCCUUCGAAUCACACAGGACUAAAAGGAGCAGGUAUCAAGCACACACUCUUGUAGCUCACAACGCCUUGCUUAACCACACCCCCACGGGAGACAGCAGUAACAAAAAUUAAGCCAUAAACGAAAGUUUGACUAAGCCAUAUUGACCAGGGUUGGUAAAUCUCGUGCCAGCCACCGCGGUCAUACGAUUGACCCAAGCUAACAGGAGUACGGCGUAAAGCGUGUUAAAGCACCAUACUAAAUAGAGUUAAAUUUUAAUUAAACUGUAAAAAGCCAUAAUUAUAACAAAAAUAAAUGACGAAAGUAACCCUACAAUAGCUGAUACACCAUAGCUAAGACCCAAACUGGGAUUAGAUACCCCACUAUGCUUAGCCCUAAACACAAAUAAUUAU
rnacentral:rRNA from 1 species